GAUGAAGAACGUAGUGAAAUGCGAAAAGUAAUGUGAAUUGCAGAAUUCAGUGAAUCAUCGAAUCUUUGAACGCACAUUGCGCCCGCCAGUAUUCUGGCGGGCAUGCCUGUCUGAGCGUCAUUUCAACCCUCACGCCCCUAGGGCGUGGUGUUGGGGAUCGGCCAAGGCCCGCAAGGGACGGCCGGCCCCUAAAUCUAGUGGCGGACCCAUCGUGGCCUCCCCUGCGAAGUAGUAAUAUAUUCCGCAUCGGAUAGCGAUGAGCCCCUGCCGUUAAACCCCCAACUCUUUCAAGGUUGACCUCAGACCAGGUAGGAAUACCCGCUGAACUUAAGCAUAUCAAUAAGCGGAGGA
rnacentral:misc_RNA from 1 species